rnacentral:rRNA from 1 species
UAAGUUUUGUUUUUUUAUUUUUAGGUAUUGCAUACCAUUAGAAGAGAAUUUUAUAUAUUUAUAAAAUAUAGAAAAAAAAGGUUGAAUUUUUUAUAGUUUUAUUGUUUCAUAAUAAAAAUUAUAAAAAUUAGGGUUGAAAAGUCGACUUUUUUGGUAUCUGUUUUGAUGUUUUAAUUAGAAAUUUAUUAUUUUUAUUAUUUAUUUUUAUAAAGUUAAAAUUUGAAGUGUUUGUUUUAUUAGUUUUAUAACUAUUUAUUUUUUAGGUUUGGGUUAUUAAGAGUUAUGGUUAAUAAUUUUUUAUUAGCUUAAUUAUUUUUGAAUUAGUAAAUUUUUAAAAUUUUAUGAAAAGUUUUAAUAUAAUAAAAGAAUUAAAAGUUUAAUCAAAUGUUUUUUAAAGACUUAGACUUUUUUAUAAAGUUUGCUUCUGCCCCAUGAAUUUUUAAAUGGCAGUCUUAGCGUGAGGACAUUAAGGUAGCAAAAUAAUUUGUGCCUUUAUUAGGUGUCAGUAUGAAUGAAGUUAUUGGUUAAUUAUUUUUUAUUUUUUUUUUUGAAUUUUUUAUUAGUAUAAAAAAUUUUUAUUGUAAUUAUACAAAGAUAAGUCUUCGGAAAUUCUUUUUUGGUUUAAUUUUAGUUUUGUUUAUUUUUAAAAUUUUCUAGGGCAGAAUUUUAUGUAAUUAUUUAUAUCUAUUAAUAAUUUUUUGAAUUACUCCGGAGUUAACAGAAAAUCAUACCUAAUUUAGAUCUUAUAAUAAGGUAAGUUUUACAUCGAUGUUGUAUUUAAGUUUGUUAAAGAGGGAGAAGAUUUAAUUUUUGAGACUGUUCUUCUUUUAUUUAACUUAACGUGAUAUUAGUUUAAUUCAUUGUGAGAUAGAAUUGUUUAUCUUGUUAAUUACUAUAUUGUAUUUUUAAUAGUACGAAAGGAAAAUUAAAAAAAGUUUUAAACUUUUUUGGUAUAAAACCA